GGAGCAACGCCGCGUGAGUGAAGAAGGCUUUCGGGUUGUAAAACUCUGUCUUCAGGGAAGAAAAAAAUGACGGUACCUGAGGAGGAAGCCCCGGCUAACUACGUGCCAGCAGCCGCGGUAAUA
rnacentral:rRNA from 1 species